rnacentral:lncRNA from 10 species
GGAGGAAGUGCUCUGUGAGAGGGGCCUGGGAGAGAAUCAGGAGAACAGGGUACAACAGCUGGUGAGAGUUUUGCUUCUGAUAUAGACAAUGCCUGGAGAGCAAACCAUUACAGCUAAGAGAGAUCUUUAAGUGAAAGAAAAGGAGAAGGCUCCAUUUCAGCUUAUUAGAGGACUUGAAUUUGUCUAAUGUCUUGCCUGGGAAAAGCAGCUCAGUUCUCUCUGAAAAGGAAAACCCAAGACAGAAAGCGUGGAUGUGGAAGAAGGCUGGAGUGCAGUGGCGCGAUCUCGGCUCACUGCAAGCUCUGCCUCCUGGGUUCACGCCAUUCUCCUGCCUCAGCCUCCCGAGUAGCUGGGACUACAGGCGCCCACCACCACAUCCGGCUAAUUGCUUUUAGCACUUUUUUGGGAGAGGUGUGUGGCAACAGUAAAGCUUUCUACAUGUUAAACAGAAUGAACAAAACCAACGCAGAGCAGUGACUUCCUGUCAGAGCAGAAGGAGACCCUUAUAGAACAGCUGUGCCACUGCUCCAAAGGCCUCGUGUGGUUCUAUCCCUUGGACUGCCUUUCUUCAACAGCCCAGACACCUGCUCUGUCAGAUUUAUAAGCCACACCCCCUAGAGCCAUGCCAAUCAAAGCAUGGC